rnacentral:snRNA from 1 species
GUUGUGCUCAGCCUGGAA